UUAAGUUCAGCGGGUAUCCCUACCUGAUCCGAGGUCAACCUUGAAAAUUAGGGGUUGCUGGCAAGACACCGCCGGACGUCUAUAGCGAGGAUUAUGUUACUACGCUCAGAGCCAGACGGCACCGCCACUGGUUUUAAGGCCCGCCCAGAGGCGAAAGGCCCAAGACCCAAGCACGAGGCUGGAUUGGUUUAAAUGACGCU
rnacentral:misc_RNA from 1 species